rnacentral:lncRNA from 1 species
CUCAUGCCAUCCUCUUUCCCCUACCCCUCCUAGGCCACCACAGCCCCAUCAUACUCCUUGGCAGCCACCCAAAACCCUGCCUGGAGGCUUCUUGCAGGAGAGAGCCUGGGCUCAGAUUUUGUUAUAUUUUGUGUACGUUGUCUCCUAAUCCUCCCAGCAAACCUGGAGGAUGGGCAUAAGCCAUGAUUACAGACUGGACAGUGGGAUCCUAGACUCUAGUCACUCCCUUGGGGUCUGGCAGCUCCCACACACGGGGCAGGGCUCCAGCCUGACAGCAGAGGCUGUGCCGUGGGAUGACCUGGCAGUGGCCAUAUAUGGAAGGUGCUUGUGUGUGACUUUGAGGCCAGGUGCUCCCCUGGAAGGGCUGACACUGAAUUUGCAUCCUGCCGGCUUGUGUGGGGUGCAGCACUGAGAUUUGUCCCCUGGGGCUUGGGUUUGACUUCGCUCUGCAUGGCCUCCAAGGCCGAUUCCCUAAGUGUCUGAUGGGUGGAACUCCAGGCAGAUUUACUCAUGAGCAGCGCGAGGGCAACUCCAUGCAGAGUAACCCACAUUCUGAUUCAGGGUUUAAGAAAUUUAGAGGGUCACAUGUCACUCAGCAUAGCCUGUCUGAUAACAAGAGGUUGUGUAAUUAUGUUUAGAUUUCUAGGUUGGAAGAAUCCCUUAGGAAGUCAGUGCUGCAGAUAGAACAACUACAAAGUAUGAGAUCAUCACAACAAACAGCUUUCAGCACAAUAAAAAGUUCAGUUUCAAGUAAGUAAAAUCAUGCCAGAAAGAGAACAAAAUAGAGAUGUAUGUUGCUGAAUCACGCUGUAUGCACUGACGCUGGCAUUUUCGUCAUCACUCUUCCAGCAAAACCACACGGAUGCCUGCUGCCACCUCACUCAUCAGCCCCCGACAGACUGGAGUCGAUGGAAGUUGAUCUCUCUCCUUCUCCGAUUAGAAAAUCCGAGAUAGCAGCCGGCCCUGCGAGAAUCUCCGUGAUUAGUCCACCUCAAGAUGGACGAAUGGGCAGCGUCUCCUCCCGGGGCCCCGAGCAUCCCGGCCUGACGCCGAGUCAGAGGAGCAUGGGAAAGCCUCUCAGGAUUCCACCUCUGCAAAUUCCCUACAAGGGACCCCCACUAACGCCAACACCACAGUUACCAGGGAGAGCAGGAAGAGGGGACUCUCCAAGCUUCGGGGGCUCCCAGGCCAGGCUGCCCCCCCGGCCGCCCAUCAGCAUCUCCAGCCUGCUGCAGAGGCAGUGUUUAGGCAAGUGCUCAGCCAGCCUCAGGAAGAAAAUGCUUUUGGGAAACUGCGUGUGUAAAGAAGCUCUUUAACUGAGUGUGUGCCAAGGGCAGACAUGGAGCUCUAAACCUUCUCAAGAGUUGUGUUUCUGAGUUUUGCCUUAGUUGUU